AUCUGUGGACUGCACAAAUGUCUCUAUGUUUCCAAAAGCACGAACUUGUGUACGCGCGAAUGAAUUGCGGUAUGAUCGGUAUCCAGUAUAGGAAAUGAUGAAGUGAAAUCGGAUACAUCGAGGGCGUCUGGUUAAAACAUUCGUUAUUACACAAAGCGUUACUUGUAUGCUUAAACAUAGAAAUGUGGGCUUUCAAUCAUAACUCAAUAUGAGUUUGUUUUUAAUGUAGACCAUACGAUGAUAAUAUUCGAAGUAAGUGAACGAAAUCAUGUUCAAUAUAACUCGAUUUAUUAACGUGUUUAACUAUUAAUGUAUGACGUGAAUCGUGAUUAAAAAUACAGACAACUUUUAAAUUUGAGAAAUGGAUUUUUUAGUUAUGCAUUAAUAUGCACUAUUUAGUUGACAAAAUAAACGGUAUUUAGUGUAUUUAUAUAUAUCGAUUACAAACGUGUGACGAAACUGAGGAAAUGUCUGGGCAGAACAUCACUAGGUGAUAAUAACUUUGUGCUAAAUUACGGAACGGAACGAAACGUACCUUUAUGGCAGACCACUGUUAACGCAACGCUGUUAUCACCGAUCAUCUUGCUCGGAAUUGAGGGAAAUAUUUUCUCUCUCUUGGUCUGGAUUAAAGGCCGCCGACGGAAGACCUCGACGGCAAGAUACCUGUCGGCACUCGCUGUGGCCGACAUUCUUGUGUUAGGAAUUCCCGCUACAGAGUUUUGGAUUGCAAAUGUGCUCCAUUUAGAUAUUAGAGCAACCAUUUCUGUCGCCUGUAAGUCUCUCGCAUACUGUGCAUUUCUCCUUCCGGCCAUCUCGGCCUGCAUCCUUGUGACCGUUACGAUUGAACGCAUAAUCAGCGUGUGGUUUCCUCAUCGCGUCACCGUGGUAUGCCGCCCCAAUAUAGCCGUGAUCCUAGUCCUCGUAUGCACGCUGGUCAUGUGCUUAGUCUACCUGCCUGUUUACACCGGAAGUGGUUUACGAAGAGUUCUAAACGUACCUACAAAUGGCGACGUCCCGUUCUCCUAUGAUGAAUGCGGCAUUCUGACGACUUCUCUCAUCAGCAUUAAUUUUGUUGUCGUCAUUAUCCUUGACCUGUGUGUCCUCUUCGUGUUUCCUUUUGGAAUAAUUCUGAUUUGUAAAGUCUCGAUCCUGUUGAAUGUUAUCUGUCUAGCACGCAUGCGCAGAAACACCCUUCAAGAACGCGGAGUACAAACAAUAUUAACACGCGUUGGUAAGAGCCAGAAAAUGCUAAAAACCGUCACCCGCCUUAUAAUAAUACUAAGCACUACGUACUUCCUGUGCAACGCACCUUUAUGCAUUUUCAACAUUUUACUGAUGACUUCAAAGGAGAACACUGUGUCCAUGGAACACGCUAGUAUUUAUAGAAAUGUGUUUCAUAUAUGCAUGUUUUUGAACAAUGGCGUCAAUUUUAUGUUGUACUGUUUGAUAGGAUCUGGAUUUAGAAAAGACUUCAUUGGUAUUUUUAAGUCUGGAAGUAGAUCUUCGUCAUCGUAAGUAAGUGACGGUCACACUCAUUCUCACAAUCACCGCGAACUGGUUUGUCCUACAUUUGUCACUGUAUACGCUGGUUACCGAGCUAUUGCAAUAGGUUGAAGCACUGAUAUAAUUUACCAAUCAACAUGAAGAAAUUACACUAUUUAGACCAACUGGAGCUGCAUUCGUCUUAAACAACACGAUAUUCAUCACUUAAUGUGUCAUCUUAGGUAUGCUAGAUAUUUUAUGAUUAAAUACGAUCUUAAUGGCAUACAUACUUUAUAUAAAUUACAUUCAAGGACGAAAGAUUCUUUCAGAAAUACAAUAUGCUUAUCAAGCUAUUUCAACAAAAUAAAAUAAUCACGUAUAAAAUGAAAUGUGAACAAAUGUGUUAUUUUUUAUAUUUUUUUUAUUGUCGUUAUAUGUUAAGUAUGCAUGGCUUGUAUUGAAAACAAUAUUUGAUGUUGGUCUCAAAUGUUUUGAAAACAUGGUUGUUUCGUAUAUGUGUUUUGUCCUAACGUAAUGGAUACAGAGACGACAUUUCUAUAGUUACUUCUAUAUAAAUAUAUCUUAACAUUUUAAAGUUCAUCCUGAAAUGUGAUUUGAUUGAAACUAUCGUUUCGAUUCUGAUAAAAACAACAACAACACAGUAAAAAAAAACGAUAAUAUGUUCGUAAUGGUUAUAAAGUGUUUUGAGUGUUGCCUUUUAUUUGUAUACUCUGUUAAAGAAUACCGUAGUCAAUUUAUUGGUACUAAAAAUGUAUGCCAUAUGAUAUGUAUGUGCGUUUUUGUUAUUAUGUAAUUCCUUAUCAUUUUGUUUUAUUUUUGCCGGCUAUGUUUUAUACAAUAACGAAACCGAAUGGCAAAUGACAUGGGACAUUGUUAAAUCUCUGCAAAUGCUGUUGUUUUUAGCUCAUUCAUUUUUUGAAAAAAUAAUUAUGAGCUAUUGUCAUCCUCUGAGCGUCGGCGUCCGAUUAUUUUGUGUGUUUAGGUCCAAUUUUCUCAUAAAGUAUCAAAGCUAUUGUAUUUUAAACAUGGCACACUACUAACUAUCAUUAGGGGACUGGGCAGGCAAAUUUAGAUGACUCUGGCGGGCAUUUUUACAUAACUAUUUGCCCUUUUUAUACUUAAAAAAUUGAAAAUUUGGUAAAGUUUUGUGUUUAGGUCCAUUUUAUUAAUAAAAUAUCAAAGCUAUUACUUUCAUACUUGCAACACUUACUAACUAUCAUAAGGGUACUGUUUAGGCAAGUUAUGUAACUCUGACUGGCAUUUUGACAGUUAGAAAAUUUAAAAAAAUUGGUUAAGUUUCGUGUUUAGGUCCACUUUAUUCCUAAAGUAUCAAAGCUUAUGCUUUCAUACUUACAACAUUUACUAACUAUCAUAUGGGUACUGUGCAAAGUUAUGUAACUCUGACUGGCAUUUUGUCAGAAUAAUGGCCCCUUUUAUACUCAGAAAAUUGAAAGUUUGGUUAAGUUUUGUGUAUUGGUCCACUGUACUCCUAAAGUAUCAUAGCUAUUGAUUUCAGACUUGGAACAUUUGCUAACUAUAAUAAGGGGACUGUGCAUGCAAAGUUAUGUAACUCUGACUGGCAUUUUGACAGAAUAAUGGCCUUUUUUAUGUUUAAAAAUUGAAAAGUUGGUUGAGUUUUGUGUUUUGGUCAACUUUACUACAUCAAGUAUCAUAGCUAUUGCUUUCACACUUGGAACACUCGCUUACUAUCAUUAGGGGACUGUAUAGGACAAGCUGCAUAACUCUGGUUGGCAUUUUCAUGGAAUAAUGACCUUUUUGUGACUAUUAAUUUUGAAUAUUGUGUUGAAUUUUGUUUUUAGAUCCGCUUAACUUCUGAAGUAUCAAGGCUAUUGCUUUCAAACUUUAAGAACUUUCUUACUAUCAUGAGGGUACUGUACCUUGCAAGUUUAAUUUGACCUUGACCUUUGAAUGAUAUUGACUUUCAAGAUCAAAUUAUUAAAUUUUUCUAAAUUGCGAUUACUUCUUUAUUUAUGAUCAGAUUUGAUUCAUAAUUUAAUAAAGCAACACUUACCUGAAAUACCACAAUAGACUCCACCCAAACCAUCCCCCAUGCCCCACCCCAGAAUAACCCACCCAAAAUUUGUUCUUCCAUUAUUUUGUGUGGAAAGAUAUAAUAAAUGACUACACCCCACAUUAUACCACCCUCUCAACCCCGAUGACCACCCCCCACCCAAAAAAAUAAAUAAAUAAGAAAAUAAUAUUUUUAGAAAUGUGUUAAAUAUUCAAAUAUUUAUUUUAAUUAUUUUAGUUUUGAAAGACUGUCCAACCAUCUCCCCUUCCCCCAACA